GACGGAGGAUGCAAGCGUUAUCCGGAAUGAUUGGGCGUAAAGCGUCCGCAGGUGGCAGUUCAAGUCUGCUGUCAAAGACCGGGGCUCAACCUUUGAAAGCCGAUGGAUACUGCAGGGCUAGAGUUCGGUAGGGGAGACUGGAAUUCCUGGUGUAGGCGGUGAAAUGCGCAGAUAUCAGGAGGAACACCGGUGGCGAAGGCGGGUCUCUGGGCCGAUGACUGACGCUGGAGGAGCGAAAGCGUGGGGAGGCGAACAGGAAUUAGAUACC
rnacentral:rRNA from 1 species